UUCACGGAUCCAGAGUUUGAUCCUGGCUGAGGACGAACGCUGGCGGCGUGCCUAAUACAUGCAAGUCGAACGCCUUUUCUUUCACCGGAGCUUGCUCCACCGAAAGAAAAGGAGUGGCGAACGGGUGAGUAACACGUGGGUAACCUGCCCAUCAGAAGGGGAUAACACUUGGAAACAGGUGCUAAUACCGUAUAACAAUAGAAACCGCAUGGUUUCUGUUUGAAAGGCGCUUUUGCGUCACUGAUGGAUGGACCCGCGGUGCAUUAGCUUGUUGGUGAGGCAACGGCUCACCAAGGCAACGAUGCAUAGCCGACCUGAGAGGGUGAUCGGCCACAUUGGGACUGAGACACGGCCCAAACUCCUACGGGAGGCAGCAGUAGGGAAUCUUCGGCAAUGGACGAAAGUCUGACCGAGCAACGCCGCGUGAGUGAAGAAGGUUUUCGGAUCGUAAAACUCUGUUGUUAGAGAAGAACAAGGAUGAGAGUAGAAUGUUCAUCCCUUGACGGUAUCUAACCAGAAAGCCACGGCUAACUACGUGCCAGCAGCCGCGGUAAUACGUAGGUGGCAAGCGUUGUCCGGAUUUAUUGGGCGUAAAGCGAGCGCAGGCGGUUUCUUAAGUCUGAUGUGAAAGCCCCCGGCUCAACCGUGGAGGGUCAUUGGAAACUGGAAAACUUGAGUGCAGAAGAGGAAAGUGGAAUUCCAUGUGUAGCGGUGAAAUGCGCAGAGAUAUGGAGGAACACCAGUGGCGAAGGCGACUUUCUGGUCUGUAACUGACGCUGAUGUGCGAAACGUGGGGGAUCAAACAGGAUUAGAUACCCUGGUAGUCCACGCCGUAAACGAUGAGUGCUAAGUGUUAGGGGGUUUCCGCCCCUUAGUGCUGCAGCUAACGCAUUAAGCACUCCGCCUGGGGGAGUACGACCGCAAGUUGGAAACUCAAAGGAAUUGACGGGGACCCGCACAAGCGGUGGAGCAUGUGGUUUAAUUCGAAGCAACGCAAAGAACCUUACCAAAUCUUGACAUCCUCUGACCCCUCUAGAGAUAGGAGUUUUCCCUUUCGGGGGACAGAGUGACAGGUGGUGCAUGGUUG
rnacentral:rRNA from 1 species